UCCAAGCUUCAGCAGCUACGAAGGAGUGACUCUGCAGACAACUGUUGGUUCUUCACCAGUCGAAGCUUUAUGGGAGAGAGACGACAUCUCAGGUCAUCUGGUUCUGUUUCUGAGGAAGAAUAGGAGAACCAGAAUCAGGCAGUUAUAAACAUUUUCUGACGGAGUCCCAGCUGUUGCUGCUAUUGGACGGUUGUGGUCUCUAACCCGGCUGUAAAUGGACAA